AUAAAAAGGAACUAGAAGACUUUAAAAAUACUGAACAAGAUGUUGAUCUCAGCAGAACUCAAGGAUCAACCUGUUGACUUCAGCUUACGUACAGCAUAACUGCGAAUCUGGUCAACCACUCUUUGCAUUACAAAGGAGCCAAUGUGCCUAUGUUUACAAUCAGCCAUAGCCUAAACCAAGAAAAAUAUUUUUAUCUGUACACAUGGGUGCAUCCAGCAAUUUGAAAUGGUGGACUGCAGGAGAUGCACUGCCAUCCCCUUCCUUCCCUUCCUCUCCUCUGACGCUCCUCCCGUGGUCACAGCAGGCCACUGCAGCAUCUGCUGGGGAUGUCCUGGAGCCCUUGAAGCAGGACUGGACUGAGUCAAGUCAGAGGCAGAGUAAGUAUAAGUUCUGCAUACAUCUACUGAGGACGACUGUUAAGAUCCACCCUGGAUAUGGUUU